UGGGGAAUAUUGCACAAUGGGCGCAAGCCUGAUGCAGCCAUGCCGCGUGUGUGAAGAAGGCCUUCGGGUUGUAAAGCACUUUCAGCGGGGAGGAAGGCGUUAAGGUUAAUAACCUUGGCGAUUGACGUUACCCGCAGAAGAAGCACCGGCUAACUCCGUGCCAGCAGCCGCGGUAAUACGGAGGGUGCAAGCGUUAAUCGGAAUUACUGGGCGUAAAGCGCACGCAGGCGGUCUGUCAAGUCGGAUGUGAAAUCCCCGGGCUCAACCUGGGAACUGCAUUCGAAACUGGCAGGCUAGAGUCUUGUAGAGGGGGGUAGAAUUCCAGGUGGAGCGGUGAAAUGCGUAGAGAUCUGGAGGAAUACCGGUGGCGAAGGCGGCCCCCUGGACAAAGACUGACGCUCAGGUGCGAAAGAGUGGGGAGCAAACAGG
rnacentral:rRNA from 1 species